ensembl:miRNA
GGUUACUGAUCUAGAACCAGAUAUCCUG